UACGUAGGGUGCAAGCGUUGUCCGGAAUUAUUGGGCGUAAAGAGCCCGUAGGCGGUCUGUCGCGUCGAAUGUGAAAACCCGGGACUCAACUCCGGGCCUGCAUUCGAUACGGGCAGACUAGAGUUCGGUAGGGGAGACUGGAAUUCCUGGUGUAGCGGUGAAAUGCGCAGAUAUCAGGAGGAACACCGGUGGCGAAGGCGGGUCUCUGGGCCGAUACUGACGCUGAGGAGCGAAAGCGUGGGGAGCAAACAGG
rnacentral:rRNA from 1 species